AAGGUCCGAUGAGUAGUCGCUGCCUGACUGUAGUGGUCAGGGAGAGGAAAGUCCGGGCUCCACAGGGCAAGAAUGCCGGCUAACGGCCGGUGGAGGUAACUCCAAGGAUAGUGCAACAGAAAUAUACCGCCAAGCUAUGAGUGCAACUUUUCGAGGGAGCGCUCAUAGCAUGGUAAGGGUGGAAAGGUGGUGUAAGAGACCACCGUACUGCUGGUAACAGCGGUAGCCAUGUAAACCCCAUUCGGAGCAAGUUCUAAUAAGUGCGUACGCGGCCCGCCAGCACUAGGUUGAACGCUUGAGACCAUUGGCAACAGUGGCCCUAGAUAGAUGACUACUUUAAAAGACAUAACCCGGCUCACAGUCGGGCCUUUUUU
rnacentral:RNase_P_RNA from 1 species